GAUGGACGCUAGCGGCAGGCUUAACACAUGCAAGUCGAGGGGCAGCACGGGUAGCAAUACUUGGUGGCGACCGGCGCAAGGGUGCGUAACGCGUGAGCAACAUGCCCGUAUCAGGGGGAUAAUCCAUGGAAACGUGGUCUAAUACCCCAUAGUAAGUUUUUGGGGCAUCUCAAAGAUUUUAAAGCUUUGGUGGAUACGGAUUGGCUCGCGUGACAUUAGCUGGAUGGUAAGGUAACGGCUUACCAUGGCUACGAUGUCUAGGGGUUCUGAGAGGAAGGUCCCCCACACUGGAACUGAGACACGGUCCAGACUCCUACGGGAGGCAGCAGUGAGGAAUAUUGGACAAUGGAUGGAAAUCUGAUCCAGCCAUGCCGCGUGCAGGGAAGACGGCCCUAUGGGUUGUAAACUGCUUUUGUAUGGGAGCAAUAAGAUCUACGUGUAGAUUGAUGAGAGUACCAUACGAAUAAGCACCGGCUAA
rnacentral:rRNA from 1 species